AUGUCCAUGAUGGGUGAGCUGAAAUUCUUCCUCGGUCUUCAAAUCCGUCAGCAGAGCAACGUCAUCUUCAUAUCUCAAGAAAAAUACCUCAAAUAUUGCCUGAAGAAGUUUGGAAUGCAAGACUGCAAAGGGUACACGACGCUAAUGCCAACCAAAGGUCAAUUGGGUCCCGACGACAAUGGUAAAGAGUUCGAUCAAAAGGUAUACCGCUCCAUGAUUGGUUCUUUACUCUAUUUAUGUGCAUCUAGGCCAGAUAUAAUGCUUAGCGUUUGCAUGUGUGCCCGAUUCCAAGCAGCACCAAAGGAAUCGCAUCACUUAGGUGUGAAGCGAAUUCUUCGAUAUUUGGCUUACACCCCAACACUAGGAUUAUGGUAUCCAAAGGGCUCAGAGUUUGAUCUAGUUGGAUUCUCAGAUGCUGAUUAUGCUGGUGACAAGGUUGAUCGCAAGUCCACAUCAGGCACAUGUCACUUUCUUGGACGAUCUCUUGUCUGUUGGUCUUCAAAGAAGCAGAAUUGUGUGUCUCUCUCCACUGCUGAAUCUGAAUACAUUGCUGCUGGAUCUUGCUGCGCUCAGCUUCUUUGGAUGAAGCAAACUCUUAAGGACUAUGGCAUCCAUCUGAAGCAAGUGCCACUUUACUGCGACAAUGAAAGCGCCAUCAAGAUUGCCAACAAUCCAGUCCAGCACUCGAAGACAAAGCACAUUCAGAUCCGUCAUCACUUUCUCAGAGAUCAUGUUAUGAAGGAAGAUAUUGAUAUCAUUCACAUCAACACUGAAGAGCAAUUGGCAGAUAUCUUCACAAAGCCCUUGGAUGAGAAAAGGUUUUGCAAGUUGCGGUGUGAGCUAAAUAUCUUAGAAUCCUCAAAUGUCCUGUGA
rnacentral:rRNA from 1 species